rnacentral:rRNA from 1 species
ACUACGGGUGGCUGCAGUGGGGGAUAUUGCACAAUGGGGGGAACCCUGAUGCAGCGACGCCGCGUGGGUGAAGAAGCGCCUCGGCGCGUAAAGCCCUGUCAGCAGGGACGAAAAUGACGGUACCUGAAGAAGAAGCCCCGGCUAACUACGUGCCAGCAGCCGCGGUAAUACGUAGGGGGCAAGCGUUAUCAGGAUUUACUGGGUGUAAAGGGGGCGCAGACGGCGAUGCAAGCCAGGAGUGAAAGCCCGGGGCCCAACCCCGGGACGGCCCUUGGAACUGCGUGGCUGGGGUGAAGGAGGGGCAGGCGGAAUGCCUGGUGUAGCGGUGAAAUGCGUAGAUAUCAGGAGGAACACCGGUGGCGAAGGCGGCCUGCUGGACUGCAACUGACGUUGAGGCCCGAAAGCGUGGGGAGCAAACAGGAUUAGAUACCCGAGUAGUC